GUCUCUUCGAAGAAGCCGUGUGUUGACGAUGUCGACUGCCAUGGACUUCCAUUCUCAGAUUGCCUCUAUCAUGGAGGUCCUGGCUAACGCAGCCGUGGCAGAAAUCUGUAAAGUUGUAGACGACGGAUACGCGGUGGUUCAUCAGGAAAUGUCCCUGAGCCAGAAAGAGAAUGAGUUCCUGCGGAGGAAAAUCAAACUGCUGGAGCUGCAAAUUGCCAGGUACCGAGCUGAGACUAGAGUGAAGGGAGCGGAGGGCUCCACCAGCAGCCGCUUCCCCGGGGUCCGCCUCCUUAACCGUCAGAGCAGGGACCCACUGGCCGGCCCAUCUCUGCAGGGCAGGACCAGGUUUCUGAACCGUGGUCCAGGGGUUCAGCAGUCUGUGCAGAAGACCCAGUCCAUCAACCUGGACCAGGACCCUGAUCAGGAGGUCGUCACCACCACUAAAACUGAGUCAGCAGAGCCAGAGGAGGAGGGGGAGCUCCUGAUAGUCAAGGUAGAGGGAGCAAUGGAGACCGGAACCACCAAACAUAGCAUACCAGUAGACGCCUGCAACAGCAGCAGAGGUGAUGCAGACACUGCCACAUCGCUCCCCACUGCCUCGAAGAACGCCAGUGACAGCCGGCCAGCCCGACGACUCAGCGAAACGGAGGGCCAUGGAUAUCCAACAAACAUGAGCAGCCCUCAGAGCAAGGAGGAACAGAUGGAUGAAGUGCAAGGUUCAUCAGGUGACACCACAGAGAAAUACAGUUCCCAAACACUGCUGGAAUGGCAUGAGAGCAGGCAGUCUGAAGAUAUGGAGCAGCCAUCUUGUUCCACAUUCACACCUGAGACCAUGGCAGGAAACUCAUCAUUUAACCAAAUAAGGACUAACAAUGCUUCUGGUUUCUCCAGUGCUUCUGAAAGGCCUCAGUGCAAAAUGAAUCAGGCAAACCCUGCAUCUAAGCUCAAUGUCAUUGUCAUCAACUCACUUCCACAUGCAGCGGAGGUCAACUGCGGUGGGGCGGUGACCUCUGGACAGGGAGGAAAUGACGGAGCUGAGGAAGAGACAUCUCUCACAGAUCAGAGCAGCAAGAGUAUGAAUUCGCAGUAUCAGCCGAUGCUGUGUAUUCAGAUCAAUGAGCCAACCAGUGACGUGAUGUUUGAAGAUGACACUGCCUACCGUCAUCACAUUUCUACCCUUAACAACCCACCGGACUCCCAGCAACGGCAAACUCAGUAUUCCUGGUCUAGGAUCAGGCCGAUGGACAACGUCAACUUCUCUGGUCAGAGCCACCUUUAUGGAGCAUCUAGCAGUCACACCCAGGAGUCUGUGUUAGCACAGCCCCAGCAGCAGCCGCUCUGCCUCCCCUAUGCCUGCACCUUCUGUUCACGACGCUACGCCCACCAAUGCCAGCUGCGCAUCCAUGAGCGUGUCCACACAGGGGAGAAGCCAUACCAGUGUGUUCAGUGUGGGAAGCGCUUUGGCCAAGUCUGCAGCCUCAAGCGCCAUCAGAUGGUCCAUACAGGUGAGAGGCCAUUCCCCUGCCCCCACUGCGGGAAGCAGUUCUCCACUUCCACCAACCUAAAGGUCCACCAGAGCGUCCACACUGGGGAGAAGAGGUUCCACUGCUCCAAGUGUGGCAAAAACUUCUCCUUCCUCAGCAACCUCAUCAGGCAUCAGGCCCUGCACACUACCAAGUAGAGCAAGUGACAGGAGGGAAGAAAUAAACAUCACCACCUUCCAGCCAGUCAUCGCUACUUUAUGACAUUAAACUGUUAAAACAGAUGUUCAUCUUGCAGAAGAAGUCAAGUCCAGCACCCUGGAGAAGACUGACAUCCAGCGGUCACAGGUCAGUGCUGCUGUCUGUGCAAAGGUCAGCCUUCCCUACUAUCUCUCUUUCUCUCUUCCAUUUUUUACCAAUGCUAUUACUACUAUUAUUUCAAAAUAUUAGAUAUGCCCACGGCAACAUAACCUCAGAGCAAAGACAAUUAAAUAAUGAAGAGGCUCGUUGCACUGUACCUGUCCCCUGUGAGCGGCCAGUUGAGAGGCCGGCUGCCUGAAUUUGACCGGCGACCGCACCAGGUCCCCAAGACCAAGAGAGAGAUUUAUUGACACUGUAGUGGAAUUACAAUGUCCCAAAGACUGAAGCCAUGUGAAGGAAAAGAAGGAAAGAAGAGGAAGAAAAACCUGAAGAAGAUAGAGGUACAGUCACGUAAAUGUGAUGAAGUGAAUGAAAUUAAUAGUUCAAUGCAUCGUAGUUACUGUUAUUGGAGCAGAGUGUUAACUUGCUAGCUUACUUCAGAGCAGCAUUGAUUAAUAAUCAGUAAAUAGCUGAGUCGCCUAAGUUCAGGUUACUCCACCUUGAAUUCAUCAGGGACACUUGGAAAGUUAACGUAAGGCCUGUUCAGGUGUUGUUUCAACCUGUUGGCUGUGUUUUCCCGCUUGUAUGUCAGUGAAAAUGCUAUUAGUUGUGGCUGAUGUACUCCAACAGAAAUGAUAGCUUGCACUGCUUCUGCUGCUAAAUGUUUUCUCCAAAAGAAUCCAGAUUUAACAAGGAAGGACUAAAGGACUCGAAAAAUGCAAGCCACUUGCUGAAGGUUCAUGAGGAGGAUAGCCAGGAGCAACAUGGAAGGAGUUGAAGGUCAUUUUGCAAAGCGGCUGACAAUAGAUAAGCGAGAGUUGGCACUCUGAGGCUAAGAGAUAAUAUGUUUGCACAAUGUCUU